CACAAAAGUCUUAGCAGGCUGAGACUGCAAAUUUAGGGUUAGGGUUAUAGACAACAAAUUUUAAUGGGGCCGACAGUUAGACGAAGACGGAGAAAAAAACGGAAGGGCAACGAGAGAGGAAGAACAUGUAGUAGAAGCAGCUUGAAUAUAUAUAAUCUUCCACCACAUCAAAUCACGGUAUUUCACCAUCUCAAGUGGAUUGUCGAACAAGGAAAUGACCAACCAACUGUACUAGACAAUCUUGAGAUAAUUGAUAAUGGCCACGAUCUUGCUGCAUUUAAUUCCCAACCUUGGGGAACGGGAAAAUCAAGAGGAUAUGGUUGGAAAUGAGUUUUUUGCGCUUAGUAUGGAAGAGGGGGCUGAACAUAACAUUUGCACUGCCUCCACUAGGUAUUAUAACAUGUAUUAAAUUAUUCAAAUUAUUUAUAUUGCACAUAAUUAGUCUUAACAAAGGAAAUUUUUAUUCCCAAUAAUCUUUCCACUCUAAAUAAAUUAUCCAAAUUAUAUUUGACUAUUGCCAUCCUCUAAACUAUAUAUGACGAUCGGCUAACCAUUGCAAAGUGCUAGUUUAAAUUUCUUUCAGUAGAACAACUGAAAAUCCGGGCUAGCCUGAAACCCUCAAGUGUAUUGCAUGUGCUAGUUGUAUUGUAUUUAGCAGGAGGCCUCAAGAGCUUCAUCAAGGGGGAGCUGUAACAUACCAGAAGAAGGUGACCCUGACCUUGAUGUCCAAAGUGAUUGAUCGUGUGAUCAAUAAUUGUAUAAUGAAAUUAAAUUGAUCUUUGAGACAUUUUUAAGACAUACACUGCUGAUUAGUAUCUUUGAACUUAUCUAUUAUGAGAUUUUAGUUUGCUGGAGGUAGAGGACCUGACAGAGGAGCAUGUUUUUCUUGUGGUCAGUAUGGUCACAUAGUUGCGCAUUGUUCUCAGAGAUCACAUUAGAUUGCUAGGUAGAGACCUUCAGCUUCAAAGCACACUAUUGGGGAUACAGGCAGAUCUCACGGAGUAUUUGCAGCAGUUGAUAACUGCCAGGCAGAACAUCAGGCACCGUGUGUUGGGUGGUUACCGAUGGGAGAAGGGUUUUAAUGCUGUCGUGCCUUUCAAAUAGUAAAAAAGUCUUGGUGAUGCACAAAAUUCACUAAAGAAGACAUUCAAUACCUCUUACCAAGAACGUGGUUAAAUGAUGAGGUAUUAAACUUGUAUUUGGAAUUGAUAGAGGGGAAAAAGAGAAACUGCGCGAUUCUUGAAAUGCCACUUCUUGAGUACAUUCUUGUAUAUGAAGUAUGUUGUGAAUCUGUGAUUGGAUUUGUAGAAGCUUGCUUAAGGGGUGGACGUGCAAGAUGGCAUAUGUUAAUAUGAUACCAAGCAAUUUUAUUUAGCCCCAAAGCUUGCUUCUUUUGCACUGACCUAAUGCAAUGUAUUUAAUUGUUAGCAUUUUACCCAAAGGGGCGAGUAAUAAGAGAUGGACAUUGGCUAUAAAUUACUUGACUGCCACUCCAUAAUGCCUUCACUUUUAUCCCCUUUCUAAAACUGCAAUGUGAAACGUAAUUGCAGUUUCUUAUAAUUUAUAUUGUUAAUGAAGAUUUUUGUUCUUAAUCUCAAGGUUUUUCAUUGGAUGUGGACUGUCAGAAACAUUAAAGAAAAGCAAAUCCAGUAUGUUGAUAUAUUAAAUUCAAGAAA